rnacentral:tRNA from 1 species
GCGCCGGUGGUGUAAGGCGAACAUCGCUGCCCGGAAAGCGAAGAUGUGGGUUCGAGUCCCGCCUGGCGCA